rnacentral:rRNA from 1 species
UACGAAGGGGGCUAGCGUUGCUCGGAAUCACUGGGCGUAAAGGGCGCGUAGGCGGGAUGGUAAGUCGGUCGUGAAAUCCCUCGGCUCAACCGAGGAACGUCGAUCGAUACUACCGUUCUUGAGGAUUGCAGAGGAGACUGGAAUUCCCGGUGUAGCGGUGAAAUGUGUAGAGAUCGGGAGGAACACCGGUGGCGAAGGCGGGUCUCUGGGCAAUUCCUGACGCUGAGGCGCGAAAGCGUGGGGAGCAAACAGG